GAUAUGAGCUGCGGCCGCAUGGUCGGCAGUUGGAAAGAUUUUUCGGUCAGGGAUGAGCUCGCGGCCUAUCAGCUUGUUGGUGAGGUAAUGGCUCACCAAGGCGUCGACGGGUAGCCGGCCUGAGAGGGUGACCGGCCACACUGGGACUGAGACACGGCCCAGACUCCUACGGGAGGCAGCAGUGGGGAAUAUUGCACAAUGGGCGGAAGCCUGAUGCAGCAACGCCGCGUGAGGGAUGACGGCCUUCGGGUUGUAAACCUCUUUUAGCAGGGAAGAAGCGAAAGUGACGGUACCUGCAGAAAAAGCGCCGGCUAACUACGUGCCAGCAGCCGCGGUAAUACGUAGGGCGCAAGCGUUAUCCGGAAUUAUUGGGCGUAAAGAGCUCGUAGGCGGUCUGUCGCGUCUGCUGUGAAAUCCCGAGGCUCAACCUCGGGUCUGCAGUGGGUACGGGCAGACUAGAGUGCGGUAGGGGAGAUUGGAAUUCCUGGUGUAGCGGUGGAAUGCGCAGAUAUCAGGAGGAACACCGAUGGCGAAGGCAGAUCUCUGGGCCGUAACUGACGCUGAGGAGCGAAAGGGUGGGGAGCAAACAGGCUUAGAUACCCUGGUAGUCCACCCC
rnacentral:rRNA from 1 species